CAAAAAGUAGCUUACCACCAAAAGCGUUCAACUUACAAUUGAAAGACGUUUACACAUCAACAACCUUUUUGA
rnacentral:tRNA from 1 species